rnacentral:tRNA from 1 species
UAGCUCAGUCAGUUGAGCAUAGCACUAACAACGCUAAGGUCACAGGUUCAAUUCCUGU